rnacentral:rRNA from 1 species
UACGUAGGGGGCAAGCGUUGUCCGGAUUUAUUGGGCGUAAAGAGCGUGUAGGCGGUCAGGUAGGUCCGUUGUGAAAACUCGAGGCUCAACCUCGAGACGUCGGCGGAAACCCUCUGGCUAGAGUCCGGAAGAGGAGAGUGGAAUUCCUGGUGUAGCGGUGAAAUGCGCAGAUAUCAGGAAGAACACCUAUGGCGAAGGCAGCUCUCUGGGACGGUACUGACGCUGAGACGCGAAAGCGUGGGGAGCGAACAGG